GACGCGGUUCCUGUCGCCGUGACAUGGGUUCCCCCUCGAUGGCGGCUGCCGCGGGAGGCCUCAGAUAACCGGCCGCGUCCCCUCUCCCCUUCCCCACCGCAGCCAUGCCCGCCCGGGCCCCGCCGCCCCCCGCGCAGCCCUCAGAAAUAUAGUAACUUUGAAGUGGAACUAAACAAUGGAACCAGACAUCAUUCGAAUGUAUUCCUCAUCCCCUCCACCACUAGACAAUGGAGCUGAUGAUGAUGAUGAAGAUGAAUUUGGGGAAUUUGGAGGCUUUUCUGGCGUAAGCACUGCUGGCGUAGCUUUUGCGGAUUUUGAUACUCCAGACUACAGUCAUCCGAAGGAGGAGUUUAUACCCACAAAUCAUUUUAUCCCCCUUCAUGAUUAUUCUGACAAUGUAGCUAGCAUUGCAACUUUCACAUCCGUUAAAAAUGUUAAAGACUGCAUUGCAGAGCUUCCUACUCCUACUAAGGAACUUUCUGAUAUGUCAGCUACUAGUACCAGCAAAGAAAAAUCUAAGUUUAGAACUUCAGGUCCUGCUUUUGAUGUAAGUUUAGAAGAUAUAAACAAAAGAGGGGAACGAAGAGAGAACACUGGGAAAUCAGAGAGUUUUUCUUCUGAUGUCAUUAGAACUGAUACAGCGGUUGAAAGCCAGGAUGAGCAAAUAGAUGCUUGCAAUGGUGAGAAACUUCCAUGUCUAGAGAUUCUAACAAACGGAUUUGCAGCAUCGGACUCUGUAAAUCCUCAGGGAACAGAAGAUCUAGACAGCAUCGGUGACGCAAAGGGACUAAAAACUGUUAGCACCCAUAGUACUGAGCUAAGUUUGAACUCAAUGCCUAGCUCGGGUGAAGGCUUUGCAGAUUUUGCUACAUUUUCAAACAAAAAAACAAUCCAUUUAGAGGCAACAGGGCCUACAAUAUGCAGUGUUCUUAAUGAAAGAGACUCUCUGAGCAUUCAGGAAAACAAUAGAAUAAACAGAGUAACUCAUACUGCAGAAGAGACUUGCGUUGCAGAAGCUAGCUGUGAACAGGGUUCCUCAGCACUGGAAGAUAAUGAAUUCACAAUUUUUAGUACGUCUCAAACAACUGGAAGUUCAAUAUGCACUAUUGAAAACAGAGAAAACAAUGGGAGAGGAAACCUACAUGAUACAGAGAAUGGCAAAGGUUUUUCUCAGCCCGAUGACUUUUCAGGAUCAGAGGACGUCAAAGUUGAUGAGAUCCAAAGCCUAAGCAGUGAUCUUGCAGGAGAAGACGUGGGUGAUUCUGAGGAUGUUAAGAAUGGUGGAAGUAGUACUGAAGUUGUAGCUUGCCGUGACACACAUGACGACGACUUUGGUGAUUUUGGUUCAGUCAGCAGUGCAUCUUCCACUUCCGUUAAUGCUCAAGAAUCAAUAAACGCUCAGGCUUUAGAAGGAACUUCUGAACAGCCUGCAAAUAUUAGCAAACCUAAUGAUGCAUUUGGUGAAUUCAGGGACACAAGUACUGUUUCUCAGCUGCCAGCAACGUUGGAUCAAGCUGAACUAAAUCAGACUGCUGACACUUUAGAAUGUAAUGCUACCAGUAAAAUUUCUGGCUUAGACUUCCAGCAUACUGUUGAGGUAGAAAAUGGUGAUGAUAGCGAGUUUGGAGACUUUGAUUCAGUGCCAAAACCUCAAGAUGAGAGCGUUGCUUUUCAGGACUCUGAUGACUUUGCGGACUUCAGUUCAGCAGGUUGUAACCAGGCUACUGAGUGGAAUGCUUUUGAAGAUGAACAAAAAGACAGCUGUUCUUGGGCUGCCUUUGGAGAGGAGCAGGCUGGUGAAUCUCAUCACAGAAAAGAGACAUGGCAGUCACAUAGGACAGAUGCAUCUGUGAGGAUUGAUGGCCCAGUAUUACACAAGACUGACAGUUUUGCUUUAGCAUCUUUCCAAGGAUCUACCAGUAAGCAAUCUCAAGAGCCAGCACCUUCAGUUCAGACAACAUUACUAGGUCGUCUGGAACGAAUAUUUGAAGUCUGUUUUCCUUCCAUGCCUGUUCUUGAAAUUGAAGAAGAAAUAAUUUCCUUGAAUCAUUUGCUGGAAGCAGGUGAAAAGCAGAUGACAACUGAGGAGACCGUAGCAAAUACUGGGGAACUGAUGGACGUGUGGACAGAGCUGCAGGAUAUCCACGAUGCGUAUGGACUGCGAUACCAGUGGGGUGGCUCCCACAGCAACAAAAAGCUUUUGUGCUCCUUGGGAAUUGACACCAGAAAUAUUCUCUUUACAGGCAACAAGAAACAGCCUGUUAUAGUACCCAUGUAUGCAGCAGGACUGGGUAUGUUAGAACCUACCAAGGAACCUCUGAAACCGAUAUCUGCAGCAGAAAAAAUAGCUUCCAUAGGACAGACACCUCUUGUAUCACCGGAGAUGAACACGUGUACAUCCGAUCAGUUCCAGGAAUCUCUACCACCUGUCCAGUUUGACUGGAGUAGCAGUGGCCUUACUAACCCUUUAGAUGGUGUGGAUCCUGAGUUGUAUGAAUUGACAACCUCAAAACUGGAAACUUCCAACGCAAGCAACAGAGUGACCGAUGCAUUUGCAAGACUCAUGUCCACAGUAGAGAAGGCAAGCACGUCCACAAGGAAGCCUAAAAAGGAAGAACAUCUUAGUGAAGAGGCUGCCAAGGUGAUUUCUAGCCUUCCUGACUUAACUUUCAUGCAUGCCAAGGUGUUGAUGUUCCCAGCCACAUUAACACCUUCGACAAGCUGCCAAGAAAAGCAAAAUUGAUGCACUGCAGUAACAGUAGAACCUUCUAAUCUGUGCCGCGCAGUCUCACAAGACACACCUGUCAGGGUCCUGCAGAAGGAGAAGCAGACUUCUCUUUAUUGUCCUGUCUCCUUGAAUAUGUUAUGGUGCAGUCUUCUGGUUUGGCCUCCAACUUACAGGGCACUGUGGCUCAAGACGUGUUCGUGUUUUGGGUUAGAGACUUCUUCAAAGUAACGGGCAAUACUGAUGCAUAAGAAACACGAAGUCAGGCUGAGGCCAUGGCAUCGUUUUUCCUUAGCAGUCUUCGCCGUUGUCCACCUGGGGUUUUCAUCUACGGAGGUACUCAGCAAGACGCAUGGGGACUGCCUGCCCCCGUGCCCCUCUGAGGGGACCCUGAGCUCUGGGGAGAGGCCACAGCCAGCAGGACAGCACCACACAUUCUCCUGUGCAGCUAAGUGCAAGGCACACCUCUGGGUUCAGAGCAGUAGCAAGCUGUUAAAACAGUUUCCAGCAAACUGCUGCUGCCCAUCCUUGUGCGUUUAUAAAAUAGGAAAAAACACUUCUAUUUUAUUUUUUUUUAAACUGUUUUCAAACCUGGAUUGGGUUUGACGUUUGAAAUACCUGCUCUUUGCUUUCUGCCCUGUCUCCUGAGGAGUUUGGUGGGAUGCCUGGGAGCUGCGAAUUAGGUAGGCUGUGCUAAAGCCUGGGUUCAUUUAAAAAUACAGCAGUUCGAAAAACGCGUGGCCUUACUCUCCCUUCUUCCCUGGCAUGCAGAGCAAUCAUAUUUUGAAUGAAAACACGGGGCGAGAACAAAGCCAUGGCUAAAUCCAAUCUAUUUCCCUGGGCCUAAACGAAGAGCACUGCUCCCUGUCCCAGCAGGCCAGCCCGUGUCCCCAUUGAAGGGCUCCGAGCAUCCAGCAGCCUGUAUUAACCUCCCAACAACAGCCCAGGCAAGGCUGGAGGGGGGUGAGGCUUUCUGGAAGUGCGUAUGGAUGCCUUUUCUUUGCAUCCUCAGACCCAGGGGCUUAACUCCUUGCUGCCCUGGCUCUUGCACACGCCUGCCGCAGAGGUGGAUGCGACUGCAGAGCACCAAGUGACAAAUGAGCAGGGGCUUAAAACAAAACAAAUCGGGAAACAAAAAGAAAAUCGCACCGUGGUGUGGCAUUAAACCUGUGAAUUGCAUUAGAAAGUCAGAAACCUACAUCCAGAGAUUAAAAAUAACACCGCUUUUAUGAGAGCAGCGAGAAUGCCUGCUAAUUGUUGGUUUACACGAGAAAAGCAGAAACAUGCUGAAAAAUUGGCUCACAAUAGCAGUUGCUGUAUCAUAAUCUCCUGGUUCCAUUCUUGCCUUGCUAAUAAGAAGUAAGACUAAUUUAACUUUUACAACGUCCCAAAUCUGUGGCUAUACGAUUCAGAGACUUAAUAAGAUUCUCCUGCCGAGCCAAGAAAAGCUUAGCGGUUUUUAGCUUACUUUCUUCUUCUGGGUUUCAGUUUCAGGACAUUCGUGCAAUGGCUGUGACAUUUUAUUUUAUUUUUAUUUUUUUAAGCCUGCAUUUCAUCAGAAUUACUGAUGUCUCUGUUUAAGUUAUUAUAGGUGUAAAUUGGUUGUACUGGAGCUGGGUAAAAUCUCCGGCUGGCGUUUUUCUAGUAAAAAAAAAAA